GGCCCUCACUCAGUCGUGCCCUAGCAGCGGGAACAGUACUGCAGUAAGCGAUCAGGGCUCUGGAGUAAUGUUUCUGCCGCUUGAGCAAGGCUGGGACUGUCACACGGGC
rnacentral:miRNA from 1 species